rnacentral:rRNA from 1 species
GACGAACGCUGGCGGCGUGCCUAAUACAUGCAAGUCGAGCGGACGGAUGGGAGCUUGCUCCCAGACCGUCAGCGGCGGACGGGUGAGUAACACGUGGGCAACCUGCCUGUAAGACUGGGAUAACUCCGGGAAACCGGGGCUAAUACCGGAUAACUCUUUCCCUCCCAUGAGGGAAAGCUGAAAGAUGGCAUCUCGCUAUCACUUACAGAUGGGCCCGCGGCGCAUUAGCUAGUUGGUGAGGUAACGGCUCACCAAGGCGACGAUGCGUAGCCGACCUGAGGGGGUGAUCGGCCACACUGGGACUGAGACACGGCCCAGACUCCUACGGGAGGCAGCAGUAGGGAAUCUUCCGCAAUGGACGAAAGUCUGACGGAGCAACGCCGCGUGAGUGAUGAAGGUUUUCGGAUCGUAAAACUCUGUUGUCAGGGAAGAACAAGUACCGGAGUAACUGCCGGUACCUUGACGGUACCUGACCAGAAAGCCACGGCUAACUACGUG